GGUCCCCCCUCGGCCUCUUAGCAGGGCGUCGUAGGUCCCCCCUCGGCCUCUUAGCAGGGCGUCGUAGGUUCCCCCUCGGCCUCUUCGCAGGGCGUCGUAGGUCCCCCCUCGGCCUCUUCGCAGGGCGUCGUAGGUCCCCCCUCGGCCUCUUCGCAGGGCGUCGUAGGUCCCCCCUCGGCCUCUUCGCAGGGCGUCGUAGGUCCCCCCUCG